GUGUGUGAGAGUGUGUGUGAGUGUGUAUGUGUGUGAGGAAGAAUGGCUGUGUGCCUCGCUGACUGUGGCCAAGUGCCAUGGCUGAUUCACAGCAGGAAACUAGUGAGUGUCUAAACGGACAGAAAAAUAGAUGGAUGGAUGGACAGAUGAUGGGUAACUAGAGAAUGUGUGGGGAAGGGGGAGAACCCUUGGCUCUGGGCUCUGAUCCUAGUGAUGGGGGCUGUAGAAGGUGGGUUAUGAGCUCAUUGAAUGUUUAUGAGGCCCAAGCAAUUUUUAAUCACCCAAAGUUGACAACUGGCCUUCUCCGGGGGCUGGAGUGAGGGCAGGGUGUGGAGGAGCACAACUGUCACCUCUGUGGAAGGCAGCCGUCCCCGCCACAGGCAAUGGCCCCUUCAGCCGCAGUGUGCUGCUCACCGUACCUACCUGCUGCUCUCAGAUGCCGGAGGCUGAACUAAGGCUCUUCUUCCAGGUCUGAGGAUUCCCACCGUCUGGGGAAGGACUCUGAAUGGACAGGCCCAGGCAGGAGGGCCUGGAGAGGACCCAGGAGAGGCUGCCUCCCGAGGCCCCUCUGUCCACAGUGAGGGUCCUCCCACUCCACAGCUGAAGGCCACUGUCUGGGGGCUUAGCCAGGAGGUAAAGGGUUAAGCAGGCCUCUUCUGGGGACUGGCCCCAGCCUGCAUUCCUUCCUGACAGAGACCUGCCAGUCCGGGGCCAGAGGCUAAAUUUAGAGGGUGGCUAAGGUUUCCUCCUAACAGCUGACUUGCUCCUCAGAGAAGUUGCCCAAGAGAGGAGAGAGCUUGGUCUUUCUCACUGGACGCUGUUUCUGGACAUUCCAUCUGGGUCCUGGGCUCUUGGUGUGGACACCCAGGCCGGCUGGUGGAGCUGGUGGCUGACAUGGCGUCUGGUGGGGACCUAGAGGGAGAGCAGUUGGUUCCAGAUGAGGAGGACGGAGCCACCAUGUGGGCAGUGCAGGCCCACUACCUUCGCAAUCACUUCCCCAGCCAUUAUCUUGAAAGGCAUCUGAAGCAGUAGAUGUGGGUGAACAUCCAGAGUGCACAUGGCGAUUUCCAGUGUGACUGCUGAAAGGUUUGCAGCAGGUGCAACCUGUCAUAUCCGUAGUCAAGGAAGACACACAGUGGAACACAAUCAAAGAAGGAAAGAGAAAGAGGAGAAGAACGCAGAAAGAGCAGGACAAAGAAUAAGGAGAAGAUGGGAAGUAGAUUUAAACCCAGACACAUAAAGCAUGACCUUACACUUGGAUAGACUAAAUACUCCAAUUAACAACCGAAGAUUGUCUGGCUCCAUUUCUCUAUAAAAACCUACCUACCAUUUAUAAGAGUUAUGCCUCAAAAAUAAAGGGACACAAAGAUCGUGGAGAGUGGGAAACUUAUGCUGCAGGGUUUCAGUCCCUUUUGACUUCACCAUUCAGUGAUACAGAACAGCCAUCCUCCACAAUCACCAUGAGGCCCCUGGACAAGGCACACUGGCCAGCUAGUGUCUGCUGUAGGUUGUGAGACCUCAAAUGGGAAGAUCUCAAGGGUGACUUUAGGCUGAGGGUGACUCAAGAGCUGGGGGCUGGGACCACAGAGGCCUCUCUGGACGAUGGGCAGUUUGUGUUAUGGCUUACCAGGGCUGUUGGCCCGAAUCCUGAGGACGGCCUUUCCGCGGCGAUCACUCUGGGCUUCCUCAGAGCACAUUGCUGAUCCAAGGGCUGUGUCUGAAAGAAUGGGCCACAGGGCAUCAGCUGUGUGUGGUCUAGACUCAGCAGUCACACAGUGGCACUUCUACUGUGCUCCACCACCACAGGGUCCACAUGGUCCAAGGGGAGGACCACAACUCCUCCUGUCUACCUGUUGGAAGAGGUGCCAGGGUCACAGAAAGAGUGGGAUGGGCACUCUGUGGCCAGUGGAAAACCCAAGCUGCCAUAACUGAAAUCACCGGCAGAAGGCCAGCCAGCGAGGCGGCACCGAGAGCAGAUGUUAGGGCAAACAUCCCUGGACACAGAGAGGGACCCUUCACAGGAAUGGAAGAGCAUCGUUUUAGAUAUCUGUGAUCUAAUGACAUCCUCAGGUUACACACAGCAAAAACCAGCAGAUUCAGGAAAAAAAUCAAAGUCUGCAGCUUUGCAAAUAUAUAUUUUUAAAAAUCACUAGAUUAUAGAAGAGCGGUGAAUAUCUGUGAGGGGCUCAGGAGGCGGAGGCAGGAGGGUCACAAGCCCAGCCCAGCCUGGGCAACACUGUGAGCGCCCAUCCCGAGGAAAAUACAGAAAGUCUGAACAAACAAUAAAGAAUCUAGCCUGGCCGGCACGGAUAGAGUGUGUGCCCAGCAACUGCAGGGGACAGGCUCUGAUCACAGGUGUGUGGAGUAUUUACCAAAAUAGAUCAUAUACUGGCAAUGCAUAGAUCCACAAACUUCUCUGACCAUGGGAAAAUCAAGGUGGAAAUCAAUAAAAACAGGAAAUAAAGAUUAACAGUAAAUCACCAAUCAGAACCACUCUAUGCCACCAGCAUACCUAAGACUGAAGAGUGACCACAGCCACGAUAGCACUGUGAGGCUAUAGGACCCCCAGUCGCUGCCAGUGACAGGGGCUCGGACACCGGUUUUCACAGUUCCUACUGAAGCUGAGGACAGCUGAGCCCUGGCCCAGCAGGCUGUUCCGGCAUGCACUGACCAGGAGUCAUGCCACGUGCCCUCGCCAAGGAUGUGGGUGUCCAACAGCAGGAUGGGCUGCCCAUGGACGUGGAAGGAUAAAUACAGUGGCAUAGAUUCUUGAGUAAUUCCCUGGAGAACAUGCAUGUGUUGAGCCGCCUGUCACUGGUGAGACUAGCUCCUGAGAGCAUUG